rnacentral:rRNA from 1 species
GACGAACGCUGGCGGCGUGCUUAACACAUGCAAGUCGAACGGAAAGGCCCUGCUUUUGUGGGGUGCUCGAGUGGCGAACGGGUGAGUAACACGUGAGUAACCUGCCCUUGACUUUGGGAUAACUUCAGGUAACUGGGGCUAAUACCGGAUAGGAGCUCCUGCUGCAUGGUGGGGGUGGGAAAGUUUCGGCGGUUGGGGAUGGACUCGCGGCUAAUCAGCUUGUUGGGGGGGUAGUGGCUUACCCAGGCUUUGACGGGUAGCCGGCCUGAGAGGGUGACCGGCCACAUUAGGACUGAGGUACGGACCAGACUCCUACGGGAGGCAGCAGUGGGGAAUAUUGCACAAUGGGCGGAAGCCUGAUGCAGCAACGCCGCGUGCGGGAUGACGGCCUUCGGGUUGUAAACCGCUUUCGCCUGUGACGAAGCGUGAGUGACGGUAAUGGGUAAAGAAGCACCGGCUAACUACGUG